GACGAACGCUGGCGGCGUGCCUAAUACAUGCAAGUCGAGCGGACUGAAUGGGAGCUUGCUCUUGUUCGGUCAGCGGCGGACGGGUGAGUAACACGUGGGCAACCUGCCCGCAAGACCGGGAUAACUCCGGGAAACCGGAGCUAAUACCGGAUAACACCGAAGACCGCAUGGUCUUUGGUUGAAAGGCGGCGCAAGCUGCCACUUGCGGAUGGGCCCGCGGCGCAUUAGCUAGUUGGUGAGGUAACGGCUCACCAAGGCGACGAUGCGUAGCCGGCCUGAGAGGGUGACCGGCCACACUGGGACUGAGACACGGCCCAGACUCCUACGGGAGGCAGCAGUAGGGAAUCUUCCGCAAUGGGCGAAAGCCUGACGGAGCGACGCCGCGUGAGCGAAGAAGGCCCUCGGGUCGUAAAGCUCUGUUGUGAGGGACGAAGGAGCGCCGUUUGAAGAAGGCGGCGCGGUGACGGUACCUCACGAGGAAGCCCCGGCUAACUACGUG
rnacentral:rRNA from 1 species